GGGGUCAGGGUGAAAUCUCCCUCCAGAGGGUAAUACUGCGCAGUUAUGGGCAUUAUGGGAUGCUGAUGCCAUCCUUUAAGUCAAACCAGCAUACGUGGGGAGGAUGCCUGUCAGUCCCAGGAGUUACUGCGGGACCAACGGAUAGAAGCGAGCUCUGAAUUAGAAGAAUCCCUUUUGCUUGUUUUGGGCCCCAAAUAGCUGGACUAUGUGUAAGGCCUGCUUUCCUGAGGAGGUGUGCUCAGCAGAUCUUUGAGGAAUCUAUCCAAAAUGCAGACUAUACACAUCAGCAUUUUUUCUUGCCUUCUUUCUCAUUUCUGCUUGCCAUUCCAUAUUCUCCUCGCAGCUUUCCAGUUACUCUUCCACUUGCUCCCCUUUGCCUCCUGCUGACUCGAUUCCUUUAUUUUCUACCACUGUGUACCGCAGUCACUCCCAGAGCCUGGGCAACCUUCCUCAGAAGCCUCCUCGUCUCCUGAGCUCACCGCCAACUCUCCUACUGAAGCUUUUCACUCUCUGUUCAGCAGCAGAAGAAAAGGCCAGGAACGCGUGCUGUGACACCGCUCAGGUGCCACUGCCCCACAGUUCUUCACAAACCCUGAACGUACAGUCAGUGAGAAGCGGAAUGGCAGAAUUGGUUUGAGCACAUGAAAGAGAAGCGAGUGCUGUGGCCUGGUAUCAGGCACCGCGUUCUGGUUUUGGUUUGGACACUGACUCACCCGUGAGCUCAGGGAAAUCAUUUCCUUUUCUGUGCACCUGUUUCCACUCCCCACCUCUAAUUGUCUGUCUGGUUAGCUGCGAGCUCUUCAGGACGCAGCCCGUCUAGCUGCGUGCACGUGCAGCGCCCCGGCACAAUGCAGCCUUGUCUUGGUUGGGCCUUAGGUGUUGGAGCAGAACAAAACAAAAGGUAUGCCCAGACGGCAGGGCAGGCUGCCCAGACGUGCUGCCCUGCAAGCAUGUCUGAAACCUGAUGUGCUGGGAGCUGUCUCCAUUCCCAGUCCUCGGCCAACAAAGCAUUA
ensembl:lncRNA